ACGAACGCUGGCGGCGUGCUUAGCCCCUGCAAGUCGAACGGAAAGGCCCUGCUUUUGUGGGGUGCUCGAGUGGCGAACGGGUGAGUAACACGUGAGUAACCUGCCCUUGACUUUUGGAUAACUUCAGGAAACUGGGGCUAAUACCGGAUAGGAGCUCCUGCUGCAUGGUGGGGGUUGGAAAGUUUCGGCGGUUGGGGAUGGACUCGGGGCUUAUCAGCUUGUUGGUGGGGUAGUGGCUUACCAAGGCUUUGACGGGUAGCCGGCCUGAGAGGGUGACCGGCCACAUGGGGACUGAGAUACGGACCAGACUCCUACGGGAGGCAGCAGUGGGGAAUAUUGCACAACGGGCGGAAGCCUGAUGCAGCAACGCCGCGUGCGGGAUGACGGCCUUCGGGUUGUAAAACGCUUUCGCCUGUGACGAAGCGUGAGUGACGGUAAUGGGUAAAGAAGCACCGGCUAACUACGUG
rnacentral:rRNA from 1 species